rnacentral:lncRNA from 1 species
CUCCCACCCCCAUCCUAAAAAUGUGAACGUCAAGUCCUUCUCUCUCUUUGGUCUUAAGAAGGGUUUGGGUAGAAGCAGUCUUCCCAUUUAGCUCAUGGCUCUGCCUUUUAAAAUUGCUUUUGUGUCUUUUGUUGUUGUUCAGAGAACCACCAGAGUAUUUUCUCCCCAGUGAGUCUCAACAGAUUCUUAGGCAAUAAUUUUUCUUCUUAUUGAUGACCCUGUGCUCAGUAGCACCCUGCAUUGAAUAGUCCUCUACUUGUAUGUUGGUUUUCUGUGUUAAUCUCUCUCCGUGAUUUAAAUCUUAUGUCAGAGUGGUGAUAGUUUGUCAGUUUGUUGUGAUUAUUAGUAAUGUCUUACUACUGUAUUCCUUGGGCUGCAUUGAGAUCAGCCAAAUCCAUUUAUAGCUUUACUGAGCCGGAUUUGUCCGUCAAGAGUUCCCAAGUGAAAGUUGGGCACAUUGACCAGCUCCUGCAGAUGGUAUCUUUGUGGGACGGAGGGAUGGGGUGGGGGGAGGCCAGGGGGCAGGGGUAGGAAUUACAUACAACAUUCCUUUUUGUGUGCUCUCUAAAUAGCAAGGAUGUUUACUCAGGAUUUGGGGAUCAGUUGUUAGCCAUACUGAAUUUGGCAAACUGAGCUGCAUGCCCUGGAAACCCUCUUCUGUUUCUUAAGUUCCAUCCUGUCUGAUUUACAUGACCGAGUAAUGCCUAAGUUAUCCAGUUUAAAGGUGUGGCACCAUAAUGAGAAUGGCAGGUGUCCCCUAGGAGGCAACCGUGAGUGAGCAGCAUCCCCGUGACGAGUUCCCUCAUGGGCCGGGUGCUGUCAAAGCAGAGGCCCUUUCUUUUUCUGUGCCGCCGUCUCCUUCAUUAGAUGCUCUUCUUUUCAAACGAUGAUAAUCACAUAAGAGGAAAGACUUCCUUACUGCUCUCAAGAGAACUACCACAGAAAGGUGGUGGGAAAGGCUUUUUAAACAUCUCAAGCCUCCAGGUCCAUCCUCCCAUCACAGAAACUCCUCUCAGUUCUACUUGGAAAGGCUGUUCUUAAUUCUCUUUACUUACAAGCCAAGAGUAAUGCACUACUACUCUUGCCACCUGAGAGAGCUGAUGGUUGACCCACUAAUCACUGCAAGCUUAUGAGUUGAGAAGUUUCCCUAUCAGCUUCAUUAUUCUUCCUUAGCAGGGAUGAGAAAUAGCAGCAAAAGGAAAGCUAACAAUCUGAGAAAUCGGCUUUCCUGUAACAGCAGUUUUCUUCUCUAAUCAAGACGGGAAUAAAUAGAGAGGGGCAAGUUGGCGGCAAGGAUCUUCCCUCCCCUCCUUCGUGUCACCCGUGGACCUUGAGGACCCGGCGGGCGCCUUGGAUUACAGGUGUGUGUAUCCUGGACUUCGUCUUCUGGGGCCAAGCAGUGAGGAGAGCUAAAUCUAGCUGAUUCCAGUGAAAUCUGACGAGCAGUCUUACAUCCCCAACAGUUCAUCACACACCAUUCACAUCCAUUAUCUCCUUAGCCAGCACCUGACAGAAGGGGCGAUCUGGGGCGGGGGGGGGGCUUUGUCUUUCUCUCCCGACAGCCCUUUUAUUUGGCAAGUUUUCUGGGCAAUCUGCCCCAGUCUGGGCAGCAGGGCCGUGCCCUCUGGUGGCCUGAGUGCAGGGGCAGCAGUGGCGUGUGUGCCGGUGUCCGGCUGCCGUGUGGCCUGAGCACAGGCGCGUGUGCACAGCUCCCACCGGCACUUCCUUCUGACACCUCGGGGUGCCGACUUCCUUGACUCCAUUUUUAUUCUCUCUCUUUAAGUAAAAAUGGCUCUAUACAACCAUAAUUAACUCUAAGAUUCUCGUUGGUGUGCUGUGAUCAAAUGAAGGUCUGCCUGAAUCCUUUCAAAUUGUAACCAUGGUAAUUGAGGGGGAGGGUGUAGAAUGACUAUAUGAAAAUAUAAUGACAAUUGUUCUGAAUGACUGAGUGUCCUCCUGACAUGUAAUUAGCUGUUUUAGCGAGAUGUAGAUUGGCAUGGUCAUAAUUAAAAGGAUUUCUGUCCUUUAUUCGAUUGAAAAUGGCAGAUCUCCCAUUCCCUGUUCCCUUUGAGCACUAAUGCUCCCAAGAACAUUUGGAACAGCAACUCUGUAAACUAAAAUAAUGACAUGGUGUUCAUGUCCUCUCCUAAGUGAAGGAGAAGGAUUUGGAGUUAUUUCAGCUUCCGACUGGAAGCCUUUGAUUAUCGCCCCGCAUUGGACUUCUAAACCACAUGAAACCCCUCUCUAACAUCCAGUUGCAGCCAGCCCCCUCUUUGACAGAAAGUGCAGUUGGAAUCUCAGAUUACUCUGUCCCACAUGAUAACCAGCUUGGGAACCUGACAUUUCCUGCUUCCCAGGAAUUCUAAAUUUUUCCUUGGUUACUUCAGGUUUACGUUGCCGUCACCAUCAGCAAGUUUUUUUCGUCUAGAGCAAAAGACGUGACAAAACACAUAUGAAUAAGCUAAAACCUAGAGGCUUUAAAGAACUAUGUGGCAUAAGUGAAAUAUUGGCAUUUGCAAUGUUCUAACAUUACUGGAGGAAAAGAACAGAACAUGUGAAUUUCACCCAGGUUUUCUCACCUGGCUGGCAAUUACCCACUUCCUCAUGUCACCAGCCUUUGUUAUCCUGAGUUUUCCCCAUUGUUCUGUGUGUCGGUGGGACUGGCCCUCUGGCCCUUCUAAAUCCAUGUUCUCUCCCUGCCACUUUCCAUUCCUUUUCCACCUGCCUGGUCCCUUUGAGCAGCAAGCACGUGGUCCUGACACUUUACAUGGCCUCCUGCCCACAAAGCCUGUGUCGUCACCCUGAGGCCUACUGCCAGAUGGGACCUGCUGCAUCUAGUCUCUCUCUAGAAUAUGCCCUGCUUGGUUCUUCCCAUCACUUGUAGAAGUCUUUAUUCAGUUGUAUGAUCAAGAAUGAGUCCACACAAAUACCAGCACUCAGCGUAGCGCCAUGCAGCCUGGCUGUGCUGGCGAGCCUGGCCCCUGAGCCCUCUCUUCUUCAGGCGUGGACACUCCAGGGCUGAGUAGCAGCCACUAAGGAAAAUAUAGCUCUUGUUUUUGUUCAUACUUUGCUACUUAUCCUUAUACAAAUGUUUUCCCCUCGCCACAUAUCAUAGAGGGAAUCCUAACCCACCUGCUCAACUUCAGUUUCAUAAAAAUGCUGAAGUGGGGCUGCUGCUUUUAUAGUUCUCCAGCCCCCCUCCACAUACACACACAUAUGCACAGAAUUUGGAUAAACGUUCUGCCUUGGGAUUUUUUAUUUCUGUUGCCCUCAAAAUACCUGUAGUGAGUUGCAUAGUAGUUGGGCUAGCUCAGGAAAAAGAAUGCCAUGAGAGGUUUUCACUCAGCACUGCAUUUCCUACAAGAUCUAAAAGCCACUUAGCCUCCACUCCUCCAUGCCACCUGCUUUCAGGUGAAGAUACACGAGCAGUCACUGGGACUUUCUCUGGGACCCUGUCAGUCUCCUGACAGGUGAAAUGGUUGUGGAUUUAUGAGCCCAAAGAUCGGCGUAUCCCAUCCGUUUUCUUAUUUUCCCAAUUUCUGAAAGAUAACUGUCGCCAUUAAAUUGAGAAUCUGUCUUAAGAUUAGCAAUUCUGAGAACUGACUGGAUGAGUGUAAUUCUGUGAUUUGUGAGACAUGCAUUGAAAGAGCCAGCAGAACAUUCUGAUUAUCUGCUAACAUUCGAAGAAAAUAGAAUUAUCACUGCAGUUAAAACCUUCUAACAUAAUCUACUAUUUUCGAAAUCAAAGUAUUAGAUGUGCUGCUUAAAGGAUGGUGCUACUUCAGAAGAAAAGGAGUUGGCAAGACAUCUCUCUUCACAGAUGUUCCCAGAGGCCACUUUGGUGAUUCAAAAUCCCCUACCCCACUUACUCCUUUCCCACCCCCACCCGCCACUGAAAAGAAAACAAUAGGGCCAGCUUACCAAAGUCAGUGAAAAUACAGCUAGUUCUCACCCCCAAAAUAGGUAUUUUUUGGAAGAAAACACCAGAAGUAAGUUAUUCUUACAAGAAACCAGAGUAAAGACUCGUCAUUCUAAGUCACUGUGAAGGUUCAGACCUCCUGAGCACUCAAGCUCCCUUUACCGUGUCUCCUGUGCCGGCACUGUGCUGAGGGUCUUACCAUCUCCUUUAUUCUCGAAGGUUUGCAGACUCUGCCCUGAGCAGUAGCCCCUUAAUGGAGUCAAGUAAAAGCCCCAGUCACUCCUUCGGUCUGGUAGGAUGUUACGGGGAUGUCUGCCUGGCGCCGCUGAAGGAAACCUCAUUUAACCUGCUCCUCUUUCUUGUGAGCCGCGCUGGCUGGUCCCCACUGAGACCCUGUCACACCGCCGUCAUUCCUGUGCCGACACUGGACCAGUGUUGCCAUGAUGACCUAGACACCAGAGCACCCUUCUCCUUAGCCUUGCUCCUCCGUUGCCGACGGUGACAGGAAUGCAGUGAACAUGGUGAGGCUUGGCAGCUGUGAUGUGAAACCUUGUUUCAAGUCCCUUGUCCCUGUCUCCACCUCGAGGCAGCGAAGAUGAAGGUCUUGCCUUUUCCUGGGAAGGAACACCAGGCUGGCUUACAGUCCGAUCCUGAGGGGAACUCCUUGGGUGUAGUUGUACUUUGUGGGGGCGGAGAAUUUGAAAAGCUCACUCUUCCUGUUUUCUCUCUCUUCAGCUCUCUGAGCAUUUUCAGAGCCGGUUAGUUUUAGGCAUCCUGCUUGUGUGUGGAAGUUUUGCUAAGCCAUUCCCACUUGUGAGCGGCAGGGGCCAGGCAGGCGCUUUGGAGAGCCAUGGCCUGAGGCCGGCGUUUUGUCAGCAUUGGCUGUGGGCUCCCUGUGGCUCAGAGUAAGAACUGCUAACAAGCACAGCCCAGCUCAAGGUCAGCACCUUGGGGCUUGUGUGGCGGAUUAGGGCCACGGGCACUAAGCUACUUGGGGUCGCGACUAAAAUUCCAUGUUUCUUCCUUUUUCCAGCUCUUUUCCUCUCAAAAAUAGGUGGUUCUCCAGGGGCAGGCUCUGUCACUUCUCUCUUUUGACCACUUAGUCACACCCUGGGCAUCUCCAGAGCCCUGAGCCCUGGAGAGUAGAAACCACCCCAGGAGCAAGGCCUUGCUGGGAGUGGCCCCCUGAGUGGGUCCCCAGGUUGACGGCUGGGGAUUGGCGGGCCCUUGUCCCAUUCAUUAACUGACUCGUGGGGUUUUCCAUUAUCCGCCCCACCAUAUAAACCUGCCCCUAAAGUGAAGGGGAGAGGGCAUGUGUACCUUCUGCUGUUACACUGAUCCCGAUCUGGCAUCUCUGGUGGCAGCUGGGGACACUGAAAGUUCAGAACGGAGACGGGGACUCCUCCCAAGGAGUGACUCACCAGCCAGGGUGCAGGGCAGAGCUGGUCACAGAACUUGUGUUCUCGUCACAACUUCCCCUCACUUCCAGAUCAGGUCUGACCUCAGGCUGGUUGCUGGCAUCCUUUGAACAUAGAAACUGCCUUUGGCUUUAUUGGAACUAGGAGCCCAGCAUAAAAUUGUGAGGGUCAUUCUUCCACUUCAUCAUCAGCUGUUAAACAGGAAACACAAUGACAUCAUUGCUGUGUUUGUAAACAGCAGCCAGUCUAGUGAUACUGCAGUGAACUCUUGUUUUCAUGCCAGACUCAUGGGUAGGGGUGCAGCGUAAACGCCAGUAGUGGGCUUAAUGGCGAGCUCGGCUGUGGGCUCCUGUCAGGAUAAUGUUUGUUAUCAUUUGCCUCUGAAACCACACUUCAGUAUUGUUAGUGAACCCCUUAAUCCUGCAUCUCAAAAAUGGGCACCAAGAAGCCAAAACCAAAGCUAUGGGGGCGGGGGGGUGGGGAGAGCUCUCUGCAAUCAGUGGCAGCUCUGCUCUUGAUUGCCCUUCGGUUUUGCCAGAACACUCCUCUCAGAAGGUCCUCCUCUUUUCCUAGUAGUUUUUUCACAGCGAUGUCAAGUCUGUGCGGACCACGUCCCACCCCCAUCCUGUGGCCGAGCGCCCAGAGCGGGCCACCCUGACUUCUGUGCUGGCUUUUUGCCCUGUCCCUUCCUCCUGCUCUGCAGAACCUCGGAAGACAAAGGCCUCGGCAGGUUCACCCAGGCUGCAGGGUGGGACGCUGGCCCUGCCAGAAGAUGCCAAGAACAUCAUAGUUGCCUCCCCUGGAAGAGCCCACAGCCUUCUCUGAUCCCCACGGGCUCCCCUCCCUCCCACAGCCAAGGUCGCGUUGGGUAUGCAGUACCUUCCGAGGACGAAUUUUCUCUUUGUUUUUUAAGUGCCUACACACGUUACAGACCUCUGGGACCUGCCAGAGAGUCAGCUCGUGCCCUGCCCCUCCCUCCCGGACCCUGCACUUGGCCCUGCCAUGGGGGCGGCCCCUCACCAGGGUACCCGGGUUCUGCAGGCGGAGCAGCAGUGAGGGCGGCACGCGGGGCGAGGUGGUCAUUGCCCAUCAGGCUGGCUUUGUCGCUCUUUCCUCUGCUGCUCCUUUAGGGGUGUUUCUGCUGAUGGGGGUCAUGGUCCUGUCAGUGAGACUGUUAAGGAGCUUUCUCAGCAAAGUCUGUAGCCGCCAAGUGAGGAAGACAGGAAAGCGAGGCAGUCUCAGAGCAGAAACCCGAGUGUCUGACAGCAGCCGGAAGGUGCAUCCAGACCCCAAAGGGCGAAGGAUGAGAUAGUCACAGUUAAGAACAGGAUGAUUCAUUUGCCAUCAUUAGUCACGGGACCCCUGGCUGCCCGACCUCGUCCUCUUCCUAGAUUGGAGUGAUCAGGGGUCUGCCCUCAGGGGCACAAAAAGGCUGUCGUUGGGAGGGGGGUGGGUGAAACACCAUCAAAAGUGCGUCUGUGCAAAUGUGUGAGAUUGUUUGCUUCUUUUUUAAAGUACCUUCAGUCUGACCUAAAUUUGGGGCCUUGAUCACGUGGUGUGGACGAGGUUGUUCUGUGACCACACUUGACAUCACACCACUAAGCAGUGCUCAGAUGAUUUGUUGGUGCAUUAGAAGGUUUUGCAGAAUGGAACAAUCCAUACCCAGGCACUUUAUUUUCAUGAGUAAUCCAGCAUUUUUGUUCAGACAGUGGAACAGCCCACACACCGGGCCUUCCCAUUUAACCCAUGCGGGCGUUUGCCAGAGGAACCCAGCUGGGUGGAGAGUGAGCAGGUGGCCGGGACUGCCCCAUGGUGGCCAGUGAGGCUGUUCUGGACGUGCACUUGUCGGCUCCAGUUGUGGUUGAGACGAGAUGAACGUGAGCGAGGCUGAACCAGGGGAGCCGGCCUCGAGAAGCCGCCAGAGGCGGGAAGGGCUGGGGGCUCCCCGUCCUUGUGUGCCGCGGGGGCGGGAAGCAGCUGGCACAGCAAGUUCUAAAGUGGAAAGCGAGUUGCUGGUGGUAAUUUGAUCAAAUACCGCGGACCAGAUGCCUGGGGCUGCCUGAAAGCCCGCAGCAUCCACCAAACACUGGAGUGUCUGCGGGGGCUCCCCCUGCCUUCGCCGCCUGUCUUAGUCUUCGUGUCUCCCCUUGGCGUCUCCGGUCUGUCCCCAUCUUGUGCACCAUGUGCCCCUGAGGGGAGUCGCACCUGUGUCUGAGUCUGCUGUAAGGUGUUCAGUCUACCUCAAGGGGUCAUCAUGGUCAGCUCUGUCCCAUAGCAGUCCUGCCGACGUCGCCACACACACUGGAAUGUAUAUCUGCCCCGGCCCCGCCUUCCCGUCAGUAACCUCCUGACCCCGUCUUUUCCUCUGUCACCACCAACUCCUAGUGCAAAUUGGAUGCUGCUUUAAAUGUGAAAACAAUUGUUCAAAAGCUAUAAAACCUGAAUGAAAGCUAAAGCUGAAUUUAUAAGCCUUGUUGCAUAUGAGCCAAAAGUGCAAAAAGCUCUAUAUAAUGAACUAACCUGCCACUCGUAUAAAUAUAAAUAUAUAUAAAUAUAUUAAAAUCAGACUGUUCUACAAAAUUGUGUAUUUGUAUUUUUGUGUACGUACAAUUUUCUGCUAAGCAGAAGGAGGGUGUAGUAUAGGGCGCUGUGAGAAGAGAUUUCGUUUAAUCCUAUUGCUUUGUUACUUAUUUUUGUUAACAUCAGAUGCCUGUCUUCGUCUUACGUGUAUGACACUGUUUGGAAAGCUGCAGUAUCUCUCUUCCUUAGGGCCAGAGUCCAUUGGAGAAUGAAAUCCGGGGUGGAGAGAGUCGGUCUGGCAGGACUGAGGGAGAGAGCACGGCCUCUGAGAAGCAAAAAUCCCAUUUCUAGAAAUCAGCUUCCAAAGAGAUUGUCAGCUCUGACGCAGACUCCCCACUGGGUCCGCCGGGAGGGGACGCAGGACCUCUCUGAAGUGAGGGACAGGGCCUCUUAUCUCUGGGCCAGAAGUUUGCCCAGAAAGCAGCAGGGGGCUGUGCCUGGCCCUCGUGCCCAGCUCACCGGCCAUCCCUGGGCUCCCAUCCCUCUUCCAAGUAGUUGCUGCCUUUCUCAGAUCAGGUUAUAAAACGCCUUCCCUCUGCUGAGCAGCUGGCGCUUCACCACCCAGAGCUCCAGCCCCAGUUCCCUGGAGGGUCUCAGAACCCACCUUCCCGGUGCUAACACACAAGAGGGGGUAGCAUGGCUGCCAGUCAUGGCCAGAAACCAACCACCGGACAGGCCGGGCCCAAAGAAAAGCUCCGCGUGCCCGGGACAGUUGGCCCUCCCACCACAAAGGCGUCCAGAGGCCCCAGGCCCGGGCCCGCCCCCUGCUGCCCACUCACCUCUCAGCCCCGUGACAGUCCCUCUUGACGUGAACCUUCUCUAGGGAGAGCGAUACUGCACCUUCACCUGUGGGACUCAUAUUUAUAACAAUGUGUAAUGACUGUAGCAAAAAGCCCUUGUUUCUCGAUGUAAAUGGUCAAAGAAACAAGUGCUCUAUUGUAUUGAUUAAAAUAGUUCAAAUGAGUCCUGUAUCAUUGUAUCUCCUAUUCUGGAUUAGUGCCUUUUGGACAGUAGACUGUUCUGUAAUUAAAAUGUAGUAUACUGCUUUUUUGUACAGUUUUGUUUUAAUAAAACUUUUUUUUAAUUU